rnacentral:tRNA from 1 species
GCCUGGGUGGCUCAGUCGGUCAAGUGUCUGACUUCAGCUCAGAUCAUGAUCUCACAGCUUGUGGGUUCGAGCACUGCCUCGGGCU